UACAGAGGAGCCAAGCGUUGUCCGGAUUGACUGGGCGUAAAGCGCACGCAGGCGGACGCGCGCGUGGGGUGUGAAAUCUGGCCGCUUAACGGCCAGGCGCCAUCCCAUACGGCACGUCUGGAGCUAUGCAGAGGUCGGUGGAAUUGCCGGUGUAGUGGUGAAAUGCGUAGAGAUCGGCAGGAACACCCAGGGGGGAAACCAGCC
rnacentral:rRNA from 1 species